rnacentral:rRNA from 1 species
UACGUAGGGGGCAAGCGUUAUUCGGAAUUACUGGGUGUAAAGGGCGUGUAGGCGGUCUCACAAGUCCGAUUUUAAAGACCGAGGCUUAACCUUGGGAGUUAGUUGGAUACUGUGAGGCUAGACGGUCGGGGAGGGCAGCGGAAUUCUCUGAGUAGCGGUGAAAUGCGCAGAUACCGAGAGGAACGCCAAUAGCGAAGGCAGCUGCCUGGUCUAUUGGUGACGAUGAGGCGCGAAAGCGUGGGGAGCAAACCGG